rnacentral:rRNA from 1 species
GGUUAAGCGACUAAGCGUACACGGUGGAUGCCCCGGCAGUCAGAGGCGAUGAAGGACGUGCUAAUCUGCGAUAAGCGUCGGUGAGGUGAUAUGAACCGUUAUAACCGGCGAUUUCCGAAUGGGGAAACCCAGUGUGUUUCGACACACUAUCAUUAACUGAAUCCAUAGGUUAAUGAGGCGAACCGGGGAACUGAAACAUCUAAGUACCCCGAGGAAAAGAAAUCAACCGAGAUUCCCCAGUAGCGGCGAGCGAACGGGGAGGAGCCCAGAGCCUGAAUCAGUGUGUGUGUUAGUGGAAGCGUCUGGAAAGGCGCGCGAUACAGGGUGACAGCCCCGUACACAAAAAUGCACAUGCUGUGAGCUCGAUGAGUAGGGCGGGACACGUGGUAUCCUGUCUGAAUAUGGGGGACCAUCCUCCAAGGCUAAAUACUCCUGACUGACCGAUAGUGAACCAGUACCGUGAGGGAAAGGCGAAAAGAACCCCGGCGAGGGGAGUGAAAAAGAACCUGAAACCGUGUACGUACAAGCAGUGGGAGCCUCUUAAUGGGGUGACUGCGUACCUUUUGUAUAAUGGGUCAGCGACUUAUAUUCUGUAGCAAGGUUAACCGAAUAGGGGAGCCGAAGGGAAACCGAGUCUUAACUGGGCGUUAAGUUGCAGGGUAUAGACCCGAAACCCGGUGAUCUAGCCAUGGGCAGGUUGAAGGUUGGGUAACACUAACUGGAGGACCGAACCGACUAAUGUUGAAAAAUUAGCGGAUGACUUGUGGCUGGGGGUGAAAGGCCAAUCAAACCGGGAGAUAGCUGGUUCUCCCCGAAAGCUAUUUAGGUAGCGCCUCGUGAAUUCAUCUCCGGGGGUAGAGCACUGUUUCGGCAAGGGGUCAUCCCGACUUACCAACCCGAUGCAAACUGCGAAUACCGGAGAAUGUUAUCACGGGAGACACACGGCGGGUGCUAACGUCCGUCGUGAAGAGGGAAACAACCCAGACCGCCAGCUAAGGUCCCAAAGUCAUGGUUAAGUGGGAAACGAUGUGGGAAGGCCCAGACAGCCGGGAUGUUGGCUUAGAAGCAGCCAUCAUUUAAAGAAAGCGUAAUAGCUCACUGGUCGAGUCGGCCUGCGCGGAAGAUGUAACGGGGCUAAACCAUGCACCGAAGCUGCGGCAGCGACACUAUGUGUUGUUGGGUAGGGGAGCGUUCUGUAAGCCUGUGAAGGUGUGCUGUGAGGCAUGCUGGAGGUAUCAGAAGUGCGAAUGCUGACAUAAGUAACGAUAAAGCGGGUGAAAAGCCCGCUCGCCGGAAGACCAAGGGUUCCUGUCCAACGUUAAUCGGGGCAGGGUGAGUCGACCCCUAAGGCGAGGCCGAAAGGCGUAGUCGAUGGGAAACAGGUUAAUAUUCCUGUACUUGGUGUUACUGCGAAGGGGGACGGAGAAGGCUAUGUUGGCCGGGCGACGGUUGUCCCGGUUUAAGCGUGUAGGCUGGUUUUCCGGGCAAAUCCGGAAAACCAAGGCUGAGGCGUGAUGACGAGGCACUACGGUGCUGAAGCGACAAAUGCCCUGCUUCCGGGAAAAGCCUCUAAGCAUCAGGUAACAUCAAAUCGUACCCCAAACCGACACAGGUGGUCAGGUAGAGAAUACCAAGGCGCUUGAGAGAACUCGGGUGAAGGAACUAGGCAAAAUGGUGCCGUAACUUCGGGAGAAGGCACGCUGAUAUGUAGGUGAAGCGACUUGCUCGUGGAGCUGAAAUCAGUCGAAGAUACCAGCUGGCUGCAACUGUUUAUUAAAAACACAGCACUGUGCAAACACGAAAGUGGACGUAUACGGUGUGACGCCUGCCCGGUGCCGGAAGGUUAAUUGAUGGGGUUAGCGGUAACGCGAAGCUCUUGAUCGAAGCCCCGGUAAACGGCGGCCGUAACUAUAACGGUCCUAAGGUAGCGAAAUUCCUUGUCGGGUAAGUUCCGACCUGCACGAAUGGCGUAAUGAUGGCCGGGCUGUCUCCACCCGAGACUCAGUGAAAUUGAACUCGCUGUGAAGAUGCAGUGUACCCGCGGCAAGACGGAAAGACCCCGUGAACCUUUACUAUAGCUUGACACUGAACAUUGAGCCUUGAUGUGUAGGAUAGGUGGGAGGCUUUGAAGUGUGGACGCCAGUCUGCAUGGAGCCGACCUUGAAAUACCACCCUUUAAUGUUUGAUGUUCUAACGUUGGCCCGUAAUCCGGGUUGCGGACAGUGUCUGGUGGGUAGUUUGACUGGGGCGGUCUCCUCCUAAAGAGUAACGGAGGAGCACGAAGGUUGGCUAAUCCUGGUCGGACAUCAGGAGGUUAGUGCAAUGGCAUAAGCCAGCUUGACUGCGAGCGUGACGGCGCGAGCAGGUGCGAAAGCAGGUCAUAGUGAUCCGGUGGUUCUGAAUGGAAGGGCCAUCGCUCAACGGAUAAAAGGUACUCCGGGGAUAACAGGCUGAUACCGCCCAAGAGUUCAUAUCGACGGCGGUGUUUGGCACCUCGAUGUCGGCUCAUCACAUCCCGGGGCUGAAGUAGGUCCCAAGGGUAUGGCUGUUCGCCAUUUAAAGUGGUACGCGAGCUGGGUUUAGAACGUCGUGAGACAGUUCGGUCCCUAUCUGCCGUGGGCGCUGGAGAACUGAGGGGGCUGCUCCUAGUACGAGAGGACCGGAGUGGACGCAUCACUGGUGUUCGGGUUGUCAUGCCAAUGGCACUGCCCGGUAGCUAAAUGCGGAAGAGAUAAGUGCUGAAAGCAUCUAAGCACGAAACUUGCCCCGAGAUGAGUUCUCCCUGAGACUUAGAGUCUCCUGAAGGAACGUUGAAGACGACGACGUUGAUAGGCCGGGUGUGUAAGCGCAGCGAUGCGUUGAGCUAACCGGUACUAAUGAACCGUGAGGCUUAACCUU